GAAAUGCGAUAAGUAAUGUGAAUUGCAGAAUUCCGUGAAUCAUCGAAUCUUUGAACGCACAUUGCGCCCUCUGGCAUUCCGGGGGGCAUGCCUGUCCGAGCGUCAUUUAAACCUUCAAGCUCAGCUUGGUGAUGGGUGACUGUCCCCUCCUCGCGGGGGGACUCGCCUCAAAAACAUUGGCGGCCGGUACAUUGGCUUCGAGCGCAGCAGAAACGCGGUCUCGAGCCCGGUGGAUCGGCUCCCACAAGCCUAUUCUUUUAUUUUGACCUCGGAUCAGGUAGGGAUACCCGCUGAACUUAAGC
rnacentral:misc_RNA from 1 species